rnacentral:lncRNA from 13 species
AUGUUUUGGAGGAACUGUUGGUGGACCUCCGCUGAGAUGCAUCUCUCCAACAGCACCCCAGAGAGGCGAGUUGGGAAUAGACGAGCAACAUAUCUUGCGUCCCUGCCUUUGACAAAGUGGACACUGCUUGUCAAAGGGCGGCAUCAGCUCUCACCUAAAAAGCUGAGAGAAUUGUCAUUGUUUUUGGGGAGAAUUAUAAGUAUGGAAGCGUUUUGGGGGCAAAUGUUUAGGAAGAAAGAUGAGGGAUGCUUCAUUUCUGCUGAAGUCAUGGAAAAGGUGGAGACAGACGAGCAUCUCUUAGCCAAGCAACAUCGCAAGGAGAAGAAGGAUCUGCAAGCUAAAAUCCAGAGCUUGAAAAAUGCUGUCCCCAAAAAUGACAAGAAGAGGUGUAAAACAGCUGACUGACUGAUAUUACCAAGCUGUAGGCUGAGCUGAAUCAGAAACACAACGAGGAACAACUCGACUCAUCAUGAGGAGGAGGAGCAGACGAAAAGGUAACUAUUGUCUACAUAUCAGUGCUUACAGAAUUUCCCAAACUAUGGGUCGCGAGAGACAGAUUUAAAAAUGGGGUGGCGAGAGAACCUCUGAAAUAAAAUAAAUGCCUUCUCGUUGUCCCUCAGUCCUGCCCUUCUUCUCGUUGUCCCUCAGUCCUGCCCUUCUUCUCGUUGUCCCUCAGUCCUGCCCUUCUUCUCGUUGUCCCUCAGUCCUGCCCUUCUUCUCGUUGUCCCUCAGUCCUGCCCUUCUUUCUUCUCGUUGUCCCUCAGUCCUGCCCUUCUUCUCGUUGUCCCUCAGUCCUGCCCUUCUUGCUUCUCGUUGUNNNNNNNNNNGAGGAGGAGCAGACGAAAAGGUAACUAUUGUCUACAUAUCAGUGCUUACAGAAUUUCCCAAACUAUGGGUCGCGAGAGACAGAUUUAAAAAUGGGGUGGCGAGAGAACCUCUGAAAUAAAAUAAAUGCCUUCUCGUUGUCCCUCAGUCCUGCCCUUCUUCUCGUUGUCCCUCAGUCCUGCCCUUCUUCUCGUUGUCCCUCAGUCCUGCCCUUCUUCUCGUUGUCCCUCAGUCCUGCCCUUCUUCUCGUUGUCCCUCAGUCCUGCCCUUCUUUCUUCUCGUUGUCCCUCAGUCCUGCCCUUCUUCUCGUUGUCCCUCAGUCCUGCCCUUCUUGCUUCUCGUUGU